GAUGAACGCUGGCGGCGUGCCUAAUACAUGCAAGUCGAGCGUACAGAUGAGAAGCUUGCUUCUCUGAUGUUAGCGGCGGACGGGUGAGUAACACGUGGGUAACCUACCUAUAAGACUGGGAUAGCUCCGGGAAACCGGGGCUAAUACCGGAUAAUAUUUUGAACCGCAUGGUUCGAUAGUGAAAGACGGUUUCGGCUGUCACUUAUAGAUGGACCCGCGCCGUAUUAGCUAGUUGGUAAGGUAACGGCUUACCAAGGCGACGAUACGUAGCCGACCUGAGAGGGUGAUCGGCCACACUGGAACUGAGACACGGUCCAGACUCCUACGGGAGGCAGCAGUAGGGAAUCUUCCGCAAUGGGCGAAAGCCUGACGGAGCAACGCCGCGUGAGUGAUGAAGGUCUUCGGAUCGUAAAACUCUGUUGUUAGGGAAGAACAAAUUUGUUAGUAACUGAACAAGUCUUGACGGUACCUAACCAGAAAGCCACGGCUAACUACGUGCCAGCAGCCGCGGUAA
rnacentral:rRNA from 1 species